CGGCUUGUCACGUCGGUUGUGAAAGCCUGGGGCUUAACCCCGGGUCUGCAGUCGAUACGGGCAGGCUAGAGUUCGGUAGGGGAGAUCGGAAUUCCUGGUGUAGCGGUGAAAUGCGCAGAUAUCAGGAGGAACACCGGUGGCGAAGGCGGAUCUCUGGGCCGAUACUGACGCUGAGGAGCGAAAGCGUGGGGAGCGAACAGGAUUACAUACCCUGGGGGUCCACGCCGCAAACGGUGGGUACUAA
rnacentral:rRNA from 1 species